rnacentral:rRNA from 1 species
CCAUAAUGCAUGCGUACGUGACCUGCGGAGGAUCAUUAUUGAAAUGUAAUCCGAGGUGAGGCGGGCCUCGUCUUUCGUGGAAAGGGCUGCCGCGGUCAUUACCCAUGCACUCGUGCAAAUUUAACCAGUGUGAACCGAGUUGGAUGGCCUGGCCCAACCUCUGCUUAGACCCCCUUUUUCCAAAUUGUUUUUUCUUGAAUGAACUGGGCCUUAAUGGACCGCUGGAUUUGUACUGAAUCUCUUGGCUCUAGGGAUCUUUAGGAUCUCACAUAAAUGAAAAACGUAACGAAAUGCGAAAAAUUCUGUGAAUUGCAGAAUUUUUGAACUCACCUUAUCUUUGAUGGCAUUUUGCGCACUAUGGUUGUCCGGAUGGCGUGAAUGUUUGAGUGUCGUAAUCUUUUCUUUCUCCUCGGGUUCGCAUUCGGUGCGGGAAGUAGUUGGGGGUGGAGCUGCGGUGAGGCAACUCCUGUUAUGAUUUUCCUUUUGGACCGUGUCAUGCGCCUCUCACUAUUGACUUGCUGGCUACCACGCCUUUGAUCGGUCUCGAUCUCUUAUGUGACUGACUUCAACUUGGCGACUGGGUGAAUGGAAAUUCUUGACAAUUUGACAUCUUUUGACGUAAGAAUACCCGCGACACUUACGCAUAUCAAUAAGAUCAGGAAACGAAACUAACAAGGAUACCCCCUGAACCUGCGAGUGACGCGAGACGGACUCAAAUAAACUAUCUGGGAGUCCUCUGCCGACCGACGAGUGUACCGGGAAAAACCUCAUACAUGCUGUCUCCGCGGCGAAAUCCUCCCUGAAAAUUUUCUGGAAAAAAAAUGUUUUCUGUCGGGGCACGCGUGAAAAACUCCCGGGAGAGG